rnacentral:lncRNA from 1 species
UCUUCCAUUUGUUCAAGCCUUUCUUCUUCUUACCUCCCUCCCUCUCUCUCUCUCUCUCUCUCUCUCUCUCUCUCUCUCUCUUACACACACAUCUCUCUCCCCGUCUCUAUAUGUGCGAAGAUUACAACGGUAGCUAAAGGACGCAUCCAAAGGGAUCGCAUUGAUCCUAAAUCCCAUACGCAUAGUAUAUGGGUAUGAUAUACCGAGUUGGGAUCAUGCUAUCCUUUUGGAUUCCUUCUUCGGUUGCUUCUAACUUUAUAAAUAUCACACGCACAAGCCAAGAACAAUCAAAGAUGGAAGAGAAUGUGAUGUUUGAUUCAAUUUGUGCCACAAAUUGAAUUAUUCGAUAGGAAAUUUUCAAACAACUCAACGAGGGAUUACGUGGGAUUUCACCAAGUACAAGUAGUAUUUUUGAAAGAAAGAUCGGAGUUGAGUUCAAAAAUAGCCAAACAUCCCUAUGAGGGUAGCAUAUGGGGUACACAUAAAUGGGCAGUGGAGAGAGGCCCUAUAAGAAAGGGAGUCCAAACCCACAUGGGUUUGUGGUACUUUAUUUGGAAUCCAAGGAAGUGUUACGUGCUAAUAUUAGGAGCACAUUUUGAGUGUCCUAAAAACAAAGGGAAUCAUGCACAUGUCUAUUAAAUCAACUUAAAUAAAGAGUAAUUUAAGAUACAAGUUAUGUAAUUUAUAUGAUUACAAAUAUUUGACAUAUUGUUGUAUUGUUUUUGACACUUCCUUGUUGAGUUGAUAAAAUUAGAGAUGUUUAAAAAGCGGGUUUGAGUUGAGUCUAUAUGGACGUAGACUCAAGCCAACAGUAAUACAAUAUGUGGCUCGAGUUCACACGUCUAGUCCCAGCCAAAAUUGAAUUAACUUUUGAUCUUUUUAAUUUUUAUUACAACAUAAAAAGAUU